UCGGGCUCCGGCAGUCGCAACCGCAGCAGAGGAGUGGGUCGGCUGCAGGUCAUACAUAUGGGGAUGGAUGACCACCGAGGUUAGGUUAGCCUGGAGCUGAUACGGGAGCUGAUGAAACCAUGAGUGGCAAGUGGCUGACGAGCUACAGGGUGUACACGAGGACCACCUCUCCUUUCUUUCCCUUGGUGCCAGGAAACAUGGAGUGUGCUGAUGACCCUAGCAGCAGCAGUAGAAGCAACUGGGGCAAAAUGAUGAGCAAAAUUGUUACUUGUUACUCCUUCCCCAUUCUCUUUGUGUGAAAGAACUUGAUUUCUUUUGUUCCUUUGUGGAGGAAUAAGGUCACCACACAGGUAGGGAGAAGGUCACCAUAAAGGCAGGGAGAAGGUCACAUAAGGUUCAUAAAGAAUGUCGGAGUUCAGUAAUGGAGUGUGUGAUCUUUGUGUUGUUUUUUGGGUGCGAAUCAAGGGUAUGCGAUCUCACAUCCUGUGUAUUAUUGAGAUGGACUCCCUUAGCCUCAAAACCAUAUUGCCUGCAAAUAUGAUAGUGGCAAUGCUACCGUCAUGUGUAAAGAAAAUUAGAUAUGUACAUGUAAAGAACCUACAACAACUUUA